AGCGAACGCUGGCGGCAGGCUUAACACAUGCAAGUCGAGCGGGCAUCCUUGUGGUGUCAGCGGCAGACGGGUGAGUAACGCGUGGGAACGUGCCCUUCGGUUCGGAAUAACUCAGGGAAACUUGAGCUAAUACCGGAUACGUGCGAGAGCAGAAAGGUUUAUCUGCCGAAGGAUCGGCCCGCGUCUGAUUAGCUAGUUGGUGAGGUUAUGGCUCACCAAGGCGACGAUCGGUAGCUGGUCUGAGAGGAUGAUCAGCCACACUGGGACUGAGACACGGCCCAGACUCCUACGGGAGGCAGCAGUGGGGAAUAUUGGACAAUGGGGGCAACCCUGAUCCAGCCAUGCCGCGUGAGUGAUGACGGCCUUAGGGUUGUAAAGCUCUUUUCUUCGGGACGAUAAUGACGGUACCGGAGGAAUAAGCCCCGGCUAACUUCGUG
rnacentral:rRNA from 1 species